rnacentral:misc_RNA from 1 species
UUGUGGAGGAGGACGCCGAAGGUGGGGCUAAUGACUGGGGUGAAGUCGUAACAAGGUAGCCGUACCGGAAGGUGCGGCUGGAUCACCUCCUAACAGGGAGACAACAAAAUGUUUAAUAUUAUUAUUUUGUCACCUUAGGUCGAUCGGUACCUCACGUUCUUAAUUUAUUAAGAAUUUCAUUUCCUAAGUUUUUCUAGGUCACACCCAUUAUUUUUCCUGGGCCAUUAGCUCAGGUGGUUAGAGCGCACCCCUGAUAAGGGUGAGGUCCCUGGUUCAAGUCCAGGAUGGCCCAUAUCUCUAUGUUGGGGGUAUAGCUCAGUUGGUAGAGCGCCUGCUUUGCAAGCAGGAUGUCAGCGGUUCGAGUCCGCUUACCUCCACUGAUUACCACCUCUUCCAUAAUUUGGAGAAAGGAAAUGUUUUGAGUCGUGAUCAAAUUCUGAACGAAUCUAGCUUCCUAAUGAAAUCAUUAAGAUGCUGGACUCAUUGAAUUAAUUUCAUUGUUUUCAGAGAACCUUGACAACUGCAUAGAUUAUUUUUAAAGACAAUAAGCAUCUUUAAUGAUGCAGAUUUAUUAUUUGUGCGAAUGCAUUAAUAACAAUUCUAUUAAGCUGAUGCUUCAAUUUUGAAGUUAUGGUCAAGCUACAA